GACCGCGUGUCUGAGUGGUUAAGGAGAUGGACUUAAAAACCACUAGGCUAUGCCUGCGCAGGUUCGAAUCCUUCGGUUGUCG
rnacentral:tRNA from 1 species